rnacentral:rRNA from 1 species
GCACGGGUGAGUAACGCGUGGAUAACCUGCCCUGGUAUCUGGAAUAACAUCUCGAAGGGGGUGCUAAUACCGGAUAAGCUUACGAUCUCCUCGGGUUUCGUGAGAAAAGGUGGCCUCUGUCUCAAGCUACCGUAUCAGGAUGGGUCCGCGUACCAUUAGCUAGUUGGUGGGGUAAUGGCCUACCAAGGCGACGAUGGUUAGCUGGUCUGAGAGGAUGAUCAGCCACACUGGAACUGAGACACGGUCCAGACUCCUACGGGAGGCAGCAGUGGGGAAUUUUGCGCAAUGGGGGAAACCCUGACGCAGCAACGCCGCGUGAGUGAUGAAGGCUUUCGGGUCGUAAAGCUCUGUCAGAGGGGAAGAAGUGUAAAGCGGUUAAUACCCGAUUUACUUGACGGUACCCUCAAAGGAAGCACCGGCUAACUCCGUGCCAGCAGCCGCGGUAAUACGGAGGGUGCAAGCGUUGUUCGGAUUUAUUGGGCGUAAAGCGCGUGUAGGCGG